rnacentral:piRNA from 1 species
UGGCAAAUCCUUCUAAGGUUUUUGUAGAA